rnacentral:rRNA from 1 species
GACGAACCGUGCGAACGUUGUUCGGAAUCACUGGGCGUAAAGCAUGCGUAGGCGGUUCGUUAAGUCUGCUGUGAAAGCCCUGGGCUCAACCUGGGAACUGCAGUGGAUACUGGCGGACUAGAGUGUGAUAGAGGAUGGUGGAAUUCCCGGUGUAGCGGUGAAAUGCGUAGAGAUCGGGAGGAACACCAGUGGCGAAGGCGGCCAUCUGGAUCAACACUGACGCUGAGGCACGAAAGCGUGGGGAGCAAACAGG